CAGCCGCCACGGUAAUACGUAGGGUGCAAGCGUUAAUCGGAAUUACUGGGCGUAAAGCGUGCGCAGGCGGUUUUGUAAGACAGAGGUGAAAUCCCCGGGCUCAACCUGGGAACUGCCUUUGUGACUGCAAGGCUAGAGUACGGCAGAGGGGGAUGGAAUUCCGCGUGUAGCAGUGAAAUGCGUAGAUAUGCGGAGGAACACCGAUGGCGAAGGCAAUCCCCUGGGCCCGUACUGACGCUCAUGCACGAAAGCGUGGGGAGCAAACAGGAUUAGAUACCCGUGUAGUCCCUGUCUCUUAUAC
rnacentral:rRNA from 1 species